GCUUGCCGGCAUUUCCGGAACAUUUAAGCUUUGUAGACCUUUUCGGUAUACUAGUCACUGUGUUUUAAAUACACUUUUAUCAUAUCUAGUAGUUACCUCAUGAAUUUCAUAUUAAAUCAGCAAGCUAGCUGACACCUAUAGGUUAUCUUCAACCUAGAUUAGCACUAGCCUAGUCGCUAAUGAUAGCUAGCUAACAUCUCCGACCAUGAGCUCACUGAACUACUUCCCCCUUGCUAAAGAGACGGACGUCUACUGGAAAGAGAAAGUCGCUCUCGUGAAAAAGGAGAAGGAAGAGGAGGCUGUCCCAGUAAAAACAUUUUUUGAGGAAGUAACAAUGAAAGAAGAGGAAGAGAAUGAGGAGGAUUGCAGUGGUUGGCGUGAAAGAGGAGGAGGGUGAGAUGACUUUCUCAUUGAAAGAAGAGCGGACUGGAGAUCUUAACACCAGAGAGAGACCAGACUCUCGCUCUGAGAGUGGGAAGAGUCCUUCAGAGGAACCAGACCGAGAGAAGCCCAAACCAGCCAGACCACAUCAAUCCUCCCACUGCGGAAAUAGUUUAACUUGGUUAGUGGAUCUGAAAAGGCAUAAGCGUAUACACACAGGAGAAAACCUUUACCACUGCUUUCCGUGUGAAAAGAGAUUUUCAACAUCAGUCAUUACAAUUGUACCAGAGUAUACACAGGUGCAAAACCCUACCACUGCUCUGACUGUGGGAUGAAGUUUGCGCUGCCAGGUCCUUUGAAAAGAUACCAAUUGGCACACACGGGAAAGAAGUAUUACAGCUGUGAUCAAUGUGGGAAGAGUUUUACUACCUUCAACUCCCUGAUAAACCAUCAGUGAAUACACACUGGAGAGAAGCCUUACCACUGCUCUGUCUGUUGGAAGAGUUUUAAUCAACAAAGCAACCUGAAAUCACACCAGCGGAGAGACUCAGGACAGAAGCUUCAUCACUGCUCAAAUUGUGGAAUGACUUUUACUACUUCUAUGGAAUAAAAACAAUUCACCAGCGAACACACACACAGGGGAGAAACCUUACAGCUGCUCUGACUGGGAAGAGUUUUGCUAAACUAGAUGAACUGAUGGUACACCAGGGAAUAACAGAGCAGAGAAACCUUUUAGCUGUGAUCAAUGUGGGAAGACAUUCACUCAGUCAGCACAUCAGGCUCUACACAAGAGAAUACACACAGGGGAAAGCUUUAUCACUGCUCAGACGGUGGGAUGAGCUUUACUAACUCAAGCCACCUGGCAGCACAUCAGAGAAUACAUACAGGAGAGAAGCUUUAUGGCUGUAAUGAAUGUGGGAAGAGUUUUGUUUUGUUAAUUCAGGAUCUCUGAUCAAACACAAGCAAACCCACACUGGAGAGAGGCCUUUCCAUUGCUCUGAAUGUGGGAAUUGUUUCGUUAGGUUGGAACAUUUAAAAUUGCACCAAAGAGUACACACAGGCGAGAAGCCAUACUACUGCUCUGACUGUGGGAUGAGUUUUACUCUGGCAAGCAACUUAAACAGCCACCAGUAAACACAUGGGAGAGAAGCCGUACCCUGCUCUGACUGUGGGAUGCGCUUUACUUUCUCAAAAACCCUGACCAUACACCAGAGAACACAUGCGGGAGAGAAGCCAUAUCACUGUUCUGACUGCGGGAAGCACUAGUAUUGAUUUAGAGCCCUAAUAAAACAAGGUAGAUUGGUCCUACUACUGCUCAAAUGUCCAAAACAUUAUCUGAAAUGUGAUGGUACACAACAUCUGUUGUUUUAUAUUUAUUUAACCUUUAUUUUUACAGGGAGUCAAUGUUGAUACCGAGGUCUAUUUUCCAGAUGAGCCCUUUAUAGCACGACAAUACACAUAGAAAUACAAAUAACUACACAUUCAUAUACACAAUAAUAUACACGCCAAAACAAAAUACAAAUAAAAGACAUUCUUCAGUAAAAAGGUCCCCUAACAACCACAUUCCACAUGAAAAGGUGCAAGGAAAUUAAAAGCUGAUCUACCUAACUCUGGACACUAAAGGAGUCUCCAGAGUUAACCAACCCUGUGAACGGGUUUUUAUAACUUGUCAUUUUUAUUCUUAACCUUUGAUGUUUUUUAGUAGGACCAAGCUACCCUGUUUGAGGCGGCAGGGUAGCCUAGUGGUUAGAGCGUUGGACUAGUAACUGGAAGGUUGUGAGUUCCGAUCCCCGAGCUGACAAGGUACAAAUCUGUCGUUCUGCCCCUGAACAGGCCACUGUUUCUAGGCCGUCAUUGAAAAUAAGAAUUUGUUCUUAUCUGACUUGCCUAGUUAAAUAAAGAGAACAGGGAGGA